CAACACAGGAGAACCAGCCUAGCCUGGCAUUUGCAUCACUCCUUGUAUGUAAUAUAGUCACACUGACACACUGUAAUUGUAUGGAAUGGCAUUCAAAUCAAAGGACGUUACAUACAAGAUUUAGAACAGCUAUGCUAGGAAGAUUUGUUUAGUAUUCAAAAGAGGAACAUAAGACAUGGAGUAGAUGUCACUAUUUAUCAUAAGUACAUAGUUUGCUGUAACCAAGGAGAAAAAGGUAUUCGUUCAUCACAAGACACAUUAAAAGAAAAUGCUAGUAAUACACGGAUUUAUUGUGAUGCUCUUAGUGGAUUUUGGAGAAUACAAAAGAUUGUAUCACAAACAUAAUCUUGCUAGUGAAACUAAGGUACCCAACUUAUAAUGGUAUAAUGACUUCAUUUGCACGGACGUAUUUUAUACAGCCAUGCGCACAGUCACUCACGCGCCGCAGCUCCUCGCUCCCAACGUGCUCACCCUCUCCCCUUGCGCUGCGGCUUCUCCCUCCAUCCGCUCCGGUGGCGGCGGCAGCUGUUUCCAGCGGUGGCUCAUCCCUACCCGCCCGAUGUGGCUCCUCCAUGAUAGCUUGACACGCACAUGGCUUCUGCUUCUCUCCACUCCAGCUGUUGGAAUGGGUUCCGGGCGCAACAGCUCUGCACCAUCUGUCUGCUCAAAACCUACAUUUCUUUUUUCACGAGCACUGAUGGAGCAACUCCAUCACGGCAAUGUAGUGCGAUGAGCAAUGUAGUAGAGGAAAUGGUUGGAAGAGCUCCCUGUGCUGGCAAGUGGCUCUGUCUGAAGUUGGCAAGCAACUCGCUGAGCUUGCGUCAGAGAGAUGAGCGAGGUGGAUGGUGGAGCGGACACGUAGUUCACACUCAUUGCUUCUGUCACUCAAAGCCACGCAGCUCAGCACCUUGCAUUUGUCACUCCGAGUCCUC
rnacentral:lncRNA from 1 species